rnacentral:rRNA from 1 species
UACGGGGGGGGCAAGCGUUGUUCGGAAUUACUGGGCGUAAAGGGUGCGUAGGCGGCGCGGUACGUCGGGUGUGAAAUCUCGGAGCUUAACUCCGAAACUGCAUUCGAUACUGCCGUGCUUGAGGACUGGAGAGGAGACUGGAAUUUACGGUGUAGCGGUGAAAUGCGUAGAUAUCGUAAGGAAGACCAGUGGCGAAGGCGGGUCUCCUGGACAGUUCCUGACGCUGAGGCACGAAGGUCAGGGGAGCAAACGGG